rnacentral:rRNA from 1 species
UACAGAGGGUGCAAGCGUUGUUCGGAAUUACUGGGCGUAAAGCGCACGUAGGCGGCUUCUUAAGUCGGUGGUGAAAUCCUGGAGCUCAACUCCAGAACUGCCUUCGAUACUGGGAAGCUCGAGUCCGGGAGAGGUGAGUGGAACUGCGAGUGUAGAGGUGAAAUUCGUAGAUAUUCGCAAGAACACCAGUGGCGAAGGCGGCUCACUGGCCCGGUACUGACGCUGAGGUGCGAAAGCGUGGGGAGCAAACAGG